UGCCCGUCCCCCCAGAAGGUGCAACAGCGCUGCUAAUGCUCUCUUGCCCCGGAAUGGGCUUUGAACCCUGGUGUGCCGGGCAUAGUGACCCUGGGGUCAGACUUCCAGUGAUACCUAGCCCCCAGCUCCCACACCACAUUGGGGUUGGUGGACGUGAUGUUUUAGCUGCGUGGAAACUGUAGCCCAAGGAGCUGAAGUUACUCAUCCAAGGUCACGCGGCUGCAAGGGCUGAGGACCAGGUGUGUUAGGGAGAUGUUGUCAGGUUGGCUUUUUGUCAGCUUGAAACAAAUCUAGGCAUUAUCUCGGAAGAGAGCCUCCCAGUUGGGGAAUUGUCGCCAUCAGAUUGGCCUGUAGGCCGUCUGGGUGGGCAUUUUCUUGAUUAGUGAUUGAUGUGGGAGGUGCUACCCCUGGGUCCUAGGUGGUUUAAGAAAAGCAGGCUAAGAGCGGCGCCAUGGAGAGCAAGCCGGUCAAGCAGCGUUCCUCCGUGACCCCCCGCUUCAGUGCCUGUGUCCAGGUUGCUGCCCUGGCUUCCCUCCGUGGUGGGCAGGGCUGUGGAAGUGGAAGCCAAAUAAACCCUUUCCUCCACGAGUUGCUUUUGGUCCUGGUCACAGCGAUGGAACCAGAACCAGAAGCAGAGGAUCCCAAGACAGCAGCCCUUGGGCCCAGGCUCAUUCAAGCUGUCUCCUAAAGAAGCUUCUAGGAGAUGCAGCUCAGGGGAAGGGAAGGCUGAGAGUAAAGAUGUGGCAGGGAUGGCUCGCAGGAGUCUGAGAGGCGCCAGGAGUAUGGUGGUGAUGCUGAUAAAGUCAGACAGGGAAGGGAAGCCAAAACAUAGGAGUUCCUCGCACAUCUAGAGAAGAGCUUCAAAUUGCUUUUUUUUUUUUUUUUUAAGUCCAUGGUAAUGUGUGGUCUUGAGAUCAGGCACUCCCAACACUUGAGAGCUUGAGGCAGAAAAUCUCCAGCUCAAAUCCAGCCUGGGCUACAUAGUCAAAAGUAAAAACAAUAAAACAAAGAACAGAGAGCUCUUUGGAAUGGGGCCUUAUCAGAUGCCCGUCUGGUGUUGUCGAAAAGGAUUAACUCAAGGCGUUUGGCUUUCAUCGUCAGCCCUCUGCUCAGACUUGCUUGUGUUGGGCUCCACUUGUAGCACACGGCUCCUCACGGAGUCCUUCAGCUUCGCAGGUUGAGAAGGAAAGCAGCGACUCGUUCACCGCUCUGAGUAAUGGCCCCACCAUGCUGCCGGUCGUCCAGGGUUUGUCAAACUAUGGCCGUUGUGAUCGUCUGCUUUCUGCUGCCAUCACAGAGUGCCUGAGAGACGUCAGAGGAGGGACUUACGAUUUCAGAGGUUGUCAUGCACUGUUGCUUCACCUGGUGGCUGUGUGUUAUAUGCCUGUAGGAAAUCAAUGGGCUUUAAAGCUUGGGAAGCAGCUGGAGAGUGAAAUUGGACAGAUGCUGUGACACUUGGGGUCAUAAGUAAGAAGAACAGAGGCAAUGGAAAAGGGUACAACACAGUGGAAAAUGCAUUAGCCCUGACUCCGUGAUACACCACAUGACAAGAAGUGGCAGCUUCUAAUGACCUCUCCAAGUCCCAAGCCUCUCUAAGUCUGUUCAUCUGUAAAGAAAGGACAGUGUACCUACAUCACAACUUGAGUCUCUGUUACUCCUUCAUUGGUUUUGAAGAAGCAAGCUGCCAUGUACUGGGCUGCCUAUGGUGGGAGACCUCCAAGGCAAGGAACAGAGCUUGAAGGUAGUCUCCCUGACAGCCAACAAGAAACCUGAGCUGUCCAUCCUGCAGCUGGAGGAACUGAAUUCUACCAAAACCACAGGUGUACAGGGAAGCAGAUCCCUUCCCAACCAAACACAGAGGAGACUCCAGCCCUGGAAAUUGCCUCAAUCGAUUCCUGACCCACAGAACCCAGGUCACUGAUGUGCGGGUUAAGCCUCUGAGCCUGUGGUAAUUUGCUGCAUGCAGAAGUGCAUUCCUGACUGCUGUCUGUUUGUUUGUAACUCCAUGCUGCCUCCCUGUGGCAAUCCCCAGCCAGUAGCUAUGUGUGUCUGUGUGUGGUGCUUUUAGGUUUUUGUUUUAUUGUUGUUUGUUUUGUUUUGUUUUGUUUUGUUUUGUUUUUCUCCACGUGGCUCAUACCUUCUUAUGACAAUCAAUGUUAUGUGUUAACUUGAUGGCCCACAGGACGCCCACAUAACUGGUUGAGUAUUAUUCCUGAUGUGUCUAUGAGGGUAUUUCCUGACGAGACCAGUAUUUGGACUGAGGGAUUGACUGAAGCAUUUACUGUCUUGCCUGGGCAGCAUGCAUGCUGUUGAGGGUCGCAAGAGACCCAGAAGACAGGGGAAGGUUGCUUCUGCUCUCUGCUCUGCUGUCUGCAUUGGGACACUGAUGAUCUCCGUCCUUCAGUGUUCCUGCUCCUCAGACUUUCAGGUCUGGACUGAAAUCAACUCAGCUCUCAGGUUUGCAAGACUCUGAGAUCCACAAGUAGCUAACAUUCCUGUCUCUAGAUAUGACAUAACAGAGUGAGGAACUCUUCAGCAUCCAAGACCUUUAUCUAUCUAUCUAUCUAUCUAUCUAUCUAUCUAUCUAUCUAUCUAUCUAUCUAUCUAUCAUCUAUCUAUCUCUGUCUGUCUCUGUCUCUGUCUCUCUCUCUCUCUCUCUUUCUCUCUGUCUGUCUGUCUAGAACUAAGAUGAGGGGCCUGGCUUCACCCACCCUCAGCUAGCAUUGUGGCAGGCAUUCAGGAAGUAGAGGUGGAAUUUUAUCUUCUUUGAGGGCCUAACCUUUGCUGUGUGUAGCUGAGUUGUCCCUUGAUAUGACAGAAAAGACAAUGUCUACCCUGUUACUCACCUAUCCAUCUUUUCUAUUGAUUAUAUUCUCUGUAGAACCCUGAGACUUAGGGUUUAUAGUCAACAUUCCUAUCCAAAAUCCAUACUUUAUGGAAAAUAUUUAGCAUGUUUCCAGCACAGCCAGAGACCAUUCUCAUGGUUCUGAGAAGAACCACUAGCUGAGGAAAAGGCGUGGACCCAGGACUCUGUGGAUGAGUUGGCUUUCACAGCACUCUACUUGGUUUUCACAAAUCUCUGAGCUGGGAGCUAGUUUUAUAGAGUGGGCAUCAGAGCCCUGGAGAGGUUAGGUGGCUUAUCUUUUAUUACAUACAUCAUAUCAACUAAAUCCAAGCUCUCACUCAGUUCUUCCAACUGCAAACGGCUUAACCAACUAAGAAUCCCCUAUGCAUGUCCACAAGUUAAUAGAUUCUAUCAAAUCUAGCAGGCAAACUCACUCAGAAAAUUUUGGAGGUGUUGUGGGUGGGAGUCUGUCUGGUUCCCAUGCCUAUGCAUCACUGAGCUUCUAAUAUCACCUCAGAGGUGGAGAACCAAGAUGGGGGCAGGGCUGGCUUCACCCACCCUCAGCUAGUAGGUGGCAGGCAUUCAGGAAAUAGAGGUGGAAUUUUAUCUUCUUUGAGGGUCCAACCAUGACUGUGUGUAGCUGAGGUGUCUCUUGAUAUGACAGAGAGGAUAAAAAAAAAGUUGUGACAAUCACACUCUGAAACCAAAACAUCAUCUCAGGAGACCUGAUGGAAAAUGCAGGCUCCAGGGUCUCCCUCCCCAAGCCUCUGAAUCAGUACAGCCAGGAAGCAUUUUCAACAAGAUCCUCUGAUUGCUCUGAUACAAGUAGUCACAGACCACAUGAAUAUUAAUGGCAAAAAUCACAGUUUGUCUGUUCUCUGACAGGAGUUGUUCCUAAACAUCCCCACUCAUGUUUAUUGUCCUUUCUCCUCAUGGAGAGAAGAAGCCAAUGGUGUGCUGGCAAAUGUUUGAAAACUGAAUCUUUUUAACAACCCAAAGUGAAAAAAGAAAAAAAGUCCCUAUCUGUAGCAUUGGCUGGCAUCUACAGUAGAAGUUCAUACACCAAGGUUGAUAUAGCUACCACUGGACUGUCCCUUAACACCAGAGGCUCAUCCUUGCCCCUUGAAAAUUAGAAGGAGCUGGCUUCCCACUCACUGGAGGAAGUCCAGAUAGAAGCAAGGAUUUACCUCCCCUGGCCCCAGUUUCUUCACAGAGUGAGAAUUCGUGAAGGCCAAGUAUGCUUUCCUCAGAAUGGAUGUUACAGCUUAGUCUGUGGGUUAUGUACGGGGCUAGAGGAGUCUGCUUUAAGAUAGCAGAGCUGUCUGGAUAGGGUGGGUUAGCUCUGCUCAUUCCUCCUGUCUGAGGAAGGUGGGGUGCCCCCAGCCUUGGUAGACCAGCCAGGGUAUGAAGGGACAGUCCUACUUCACAUCUCCACCACACUUACCUCUGUGGGCUGCUGUGGAAUGGUCUGUAUGUCAAAUUACUCUGAUUGGUCAAUAAAUAAAACACUGAUUGGCCAGUAGCUAGGCAGGAAGUAUAGGCGGGACUAACAGAGAGGA